rnacentral:rRNA from 1 species
UCCUGGCUCAGGAUGAACGCUAGCUACAGGCUUAACACAUGCAAGUCGAGGGGGAAACGAUAUUGGAAGCUUGCUUCCGAUAGGCGUCGACCGGCGCACGGGUGAGUAACGCGUAUCCAACCCGCCCACCACUUGGGGAUAACCUUGCGAAAGUAAGACUAAUACCCAAUGAUAUCUCUAGAAGACAUCUGAAAGAGAUUAAAGAUUUAUCGGUGAUGGAUGGGGAUGCGUCUGAUUAGCUUGUUGGCGGGGUAACGGCCCACCAAGGCGACGAUCAGUAGGGGUUCUGAGAGGAAGGUCCCCCACAUUGGAACUGAGACACGGUCCAAACUCCUACGGGAGGCAGCAGUGAGGAAUAUUGGUCAAUGGACGAGAGUCUGAACCAGCCAAGUAGCGUGCAGGAUGACGGCCCUAUGGGUUGUAAACUGCUUUUAUAAGGGAAUAAAGUGAGAGUCGUGACUCUUUUUGCAUGUACCUUAUGAAUAAGGACCGGCUAAUUCCGUG